ACGAACGCUUGCGGCGUGCCUAAGAAAUGCAAGUCGAGCGGAGGAGAGGAUUUCGGUUCUCUCCUUAGCGGCGAACGGUCGCGUACCACGUAAGCAACCUGCCCGAAAGACCGGGACAACUCCUCGAGAGGGGGGCUAAUACCGGAUGUGUCCAGAGGGAGACCUCUCCUUCUGGGUAAAGCGGCUUCGGCUGGCUUUCGGAGGGGCUUGCGGCCUAUCAGCUAGAUGGGAGGGUAAAGGCCUCCCAUGGCGACGACGGGUAGCGGGUCUGAGAGGACGAUCCGCCGGACUGGGACUGAGAGACGGCCCAGACUCCUACGGGGGGCAGCAAUUAGGAAUCUUGUGCAAUGGGGGCAACCCUGACACAGCGACGCCGCGUGGAGGAGGAAGGCCUUCGGGUUGUAAACUCCUUUUGACAGGGAAGAAACAAAUGACGGUACCUGUCGAAUAAGCCCCGGCUAACUCCGUGCCAGCAGCCGCGGUAAUACGGAGGGGGCGAGCGUCGUCCGAAGUUACUGGGCGUAAAGGGCGCGUAGGCGGGGAGGUAAGUCCGCUGUGAAAGCCCGGUGCUUAACACCGGAGGGUCGGUGGAGACUGCCUCUCUUGAAGCGGCUAGGGGGAGAUGGAAUUACCGGUGUAGCGGUGAAAUGCGUAGAGAUCGGUAGGAACACCCGUGGCGAAGGCGGUCUCCUGGGGCUUGCUUGACGCUGAUGCGCGAAAGCUAGGGGAGCGAACGGGAUUAGAUACCCCGGUAGUCCUAGCCCUAAACGAUGGGUACUAGGUUGUGGACUUAACAUGGGUUCACAGCCGAAGCAAAAGUGUUAAGUACCCCGCCUGGGGAGUAUGGUCGCAAGGCUGAACUCAAAGGAAUUGACGGGGGCUCACACAAGCGGUGGAGCAUGUGGCUUAAUUCGAGGCUACGCGAAGAACCUUAUCCUGGACUUGACAUGUGCGAAAGCGGUAGGAAGUAGCCUGCGGAAACGUAAGGCCAACGGUAUCCAAUCCGGAACCUACUACAGGUGCUGCAUGGCUGUCGUCAGCUCGUGUCGUGAGAUGUUGGGUUAAGUCCCGUAACGAGCGAAACCCUUGUUUCCAGUUGCCAGCGGGUCAUGCCGGGGACUCUGGAAAGACUGCCGGUGUUAAACCGGAGGAAGGUGGGGAUGACGUCAAGUCCUCAUGGCCUUUAUGUCCAGGGCUGCACACGUGCUACAAUGGCGUGUACAAAGGGAUGCCAACCGCGAGGGGGAGCCAAUCCCAAAAAGCACGCCCCAGUUCAGAUUGCAGGCUGCAACUCGCCUGCAUGAAGUUGGAAUCGCUAGUAAUCGCAGGUCAGCAACACUGCGGUGAAUGUGUUCCUGAGCCUUGUACACACCGCCCGUCGAGCCACGAAAGGGAGGGGCAUCCGAAGUCGCUGUCAACAGGCGCCGAAGAUGAAACUCCUGAUUGGGACU
rnacentral:rRNA from 1 species